rnacentral:rRNA from 1 species
CAGCAGCCACGGUAAUACGAAGGUCCCAAGCGUUGUUCGGAAUCACUGGGCGUAAAGGGAGCGUAGGCGGCGUGGUAAGUCAGAUGUGAAAUCCCGGGGCUCAACCCCGGAACUGCAUCCGAUACUGCCAUGCUUGAGGGUUGGAGAGGUAGCUGGAAUUCUUGGUGUAGCAGUGAAAUGCGUGGAUAUCAAGAGGAACACUCGUGGCGAAGGCGAGCUACUGGACAACAUCUGACGCUGAGGCUCGAAGGCCAGGGUAGCGAAAGGGAUUAGAUACCCGCGUAGUCCCUGUCUCUUAUAC